GGUUGAAUUGGGUAGUCCGCACGAGCGCACCUAUUGUCAGUCGCUAACGUUUAAGUCGAGCACUCUGGCGAGACUGCCGGCGACAAGCCGGAGGAAGGUGGGGACGACGUCAAGUCAUCAUGGCCCUUAUGUCCAGGGCAACACACAUGCUACAAUGGCCGAUACAGAGGGAAGCGAAGGCGCGAGUUGGAGCGGAUCCCAAAAAGUCGGUCCCAGUUCGGAUUGCAGUCUGCAACUCGACUGCAUGAAGUUGGAAUCGCUAGUAAUCGCAAAUCAGCUAAGUUGCGGUGAAUACGUUCCCGGGCCUU
rnacentral:rRNA from 1 species